rnacentral:rRNA from 1 species
AACGAACGCUGGCGGCAUGCCUAACACAUGCAAGUCGAACGAGACCUUCGGGUCUGGUGGCGCACGGGUGCGUAACGCGUGGGAAUCUGCCCUUCGGUUGGGAAUAACUGAGAGAAAUUUCAGCUAAGACCUUAUAAUGUCUUCGGACCAAAGAUUUAUCGCCGAGGGAUGAGCCCGCGUAGGAUUAGGUAGUUGGUGGGGUAAUGGCCUACCAAGCCGACGAUCCUUAGCUGGUCUGAGAGGAUGAUCAGCCACACUGGGACUGAGACACGGCCCAGACUCCUACGGGAGGCAGCAGUGGGGAAUAUUGGACAAUGGGCGAAAGCCUGAUCCAGCAAUGCCGCGUGAGUGAUGAAGGCCUUAGGGUUGUAAAGCUCUUUUACCCGGGAUGAUAAUGACAGUACCGGGAGAAUAAGCUCCGGCUAACUCCGUGCCAGCCGCCGCGGUAA